CAGCUUAAUAGGACACCCUAGGUGUCACCUAAGCUGGACCAAAACACAUAAAAAUGGGGACGGAAACCAGUAAGGCUAAUUUGGAAGAAUUAAGAUGUCAAGAUUGGAGAAUCUUUGAAAAAGAGCCAGAAAAAUUACAAUUCCUCGAAUUAUGGGUAACUAAAUUUGGAUUCGAUGGCAGCCUAAGAACAAGCCAAUUAAAUAAACUACACGACUCCAUAAGCAUAAAAUAUGGGUGUCAAAUGAUUGAUGAAUGGAAAAAAGUAGCGAAAGCCAGAGAGGAUGGAGAAAGGAGGAGAAAAAAGGGAAGAACAAAUGGAGCUAGUGCAUUUUUUGCAGAAGGUGACAAUGAAAAUGAAGCCUUCUAUCAAAAUGCAAGAGGCAGAAGCAGAAGAGGAUUCAGAGGUAGAGGACAAGAUAGGCCCAGACCAGGAGGAGCAAAUCAAAGAGGGACAUGUUGCUGGGCGUGUGGAAAGGAGGGACAUAUAGCCCGCAGUUGCAAUAACAAAUCAAAGGGAGGAAGGCGUGAGCAGUCAGGACGAGAUCAAAAGCUAUAAGUAAAGACAACUUUAAUAAUAAUAAUAAUUAUAAUAAUAAUACUGAUAAUAAUGCAGAAAUGAAAGGUAGGAGAGGCAGUUAAAUAGGCAGAAAGGUUUAAUGCAGACUGCAAAUUUUUAGCAAGUUAAAUUCUCUGUACAGUCUCUGUUCUCUGCACAAAUGAUAAAAUGAUUCAUCACAUGCCAGUUACGACCUUGACUCCUCCAGAGACACAG